rnacentral:rRNA from 1 species
AAUGAACGCUAGCGGCAGGCUUAAUACAUGCAAGUCGAGGGGCAGCAUGAUUGUAGCAAUACAAUUGAUGGCGACCGGCAAACGGGUGCGGAACACGUACACAACCUUCCAACAAGUGGGGGAUAGCCCAGAGAAAUUUGGAUUAAUACCCCGUAACAUAGCGAUGUGGCAUCACAUUGCUAUUAUAGAUUUUUCGCUUGUUGAUGGGUGUGCGGCUGAUUAGAUAGUUGGCGGGGUAACGGCCCACCAAGUCUACGAUCAGUAGCUGAUGUGAGGGCAUGAUCAGCCACACGGGCACUGAGACACGGGCCCGACUCCUACGGGAGGCAGCAGUAAGGAAUAUUGGACAAUGGACGCAAGUCUGAUCCAGCCAUGCCGCGUGAAGGAUUAAGGUCCUCUGGAUUGUAAACUUCUUUUAUAAGGGACGAAAAAAGGCUUUUCUAAGUCGUCUGACGGUACCUUAUGAAUAAGCACCGGCUAACUCCGUGCCAGCCGCCGCAGUAAUAC